rnacentral:rRNA from 1 species
GAUGAACGCUGGCGGCGUGCCUAAUACAUGCAAGUCGAGCGAACGGACGAGAAGCUUGCUUCUCUGAUGUUAGUGGCGGACGGGUGAGUAACACGUGGAUAACCUACCUAUAAGACUGGGAUAACUUCGGGAAACCGGAGCUAAUACCGGAUAAUAUUUUGAACCGCAUGGUUCAAAAGUGAAAGACGGUCUUGCUGUCACUUAUAGAUGGAUCCGCGCUGCAUUAGCUAGUUGGUGAGGUAACGGCUUACCAAGGCAACGAUGCAUAGCCGACCUGAGAGGGUGAUCGGCCACACUGGAACUGAGACACGGUCCAGACUCCUACGGGAGGCAGCAGUAGGGAAUCUUCCGCAAUGGGCGAAAGCCUGACGGAGCAACGCCGCGUGAGUGAUGAAGGUCUUCGGAUCGUAAAACUCUGUUAUUAGGGAAGAACAUAUGUGUAAGUAACUGUGCACAUCUUGACGGUACCUAAUCAGAAAGCCACGGCUAACUACGUG